AACUGCAGCCCGGCCCGCGACGACCGGGUCUUGGCCUUGGCGCGAGCCUUGCCGCCCUGCUUGCCGCGUCCAGACAUCGUACAAAUAAAGCCACUGGUUUGGCUGGAAUGGGAACUGAAUUGGCUAGAACUAAUCGGCUUAUAGUCUUUACUGGGCGCGAAAACGAAGGUAUACCAUUGGCUACAGCUACAGUUUCACUUACACCAAUGGCGUCAUGGUUUUGAAGUACACUUGUUUUGAUUGGACAAAAUUAAUUUCUGACGUUUCCAUACUUCACCACCAAUCAGACACACAAGUUUAUUCACUGCUGCCUUUAAGAAGCUGUGAAGGUAGAGGAUACUUACAGCCUCAUACUUGUUCUUCCUCUUACUUUUCGAAUUUUAUGGCACUUACUCCCGAUCAUGCCUGAACCUGCCAAGUCCGCUCCGGCGCCCAAGAAGGGUUCCAAGAAGGCAGUGACCAAGGCGCAGAAGAAGGACGGCAAGAAGCGCAAGCGCAGCCGCAAGGAGAGCUACUCGGUGUACGUGUACAAGGUGCUCAAGCAGGUCCACCCCGACACUGGCAUCUCGUCCAAGGCCAUGGGCAUCAUGAACUCGUUCGUCAAAGACAUCUUCGAGCGCAUCGCGGGCGAGGCGUCGCGCCUGGCGCAUUACAACAAGCGCUCGACCAUCACCUCCAGGGAGAUCCAGACGGCCGUGCGCCUGCUGCUGCCCGGGGAGUUGGCCAAGCACGCCGUGUCCGAGGGCACCAAGGCCGUCACCAAGUACACCAGCUCCAAGUGAGCCUGCCCGCACCGAAACUCGAAUUUAUCUUACAUUUGGUGCCAAAAUCCAGGGAAAGAACGUGAGCGCACGGCCCCGACCGGCCACUGGCGGCCCUGCCCCAUCCUUCCCCGACCCAGGACCUCAGCCUACUCUCCGUUCCGUGGACUAUUUUCUGAUCCGCUGGAGAACCUUAGUCUCCCACCUCUCUCAGCUCGCUACCCACACCCCUCUCCACCACCAUCUCUAAGUUUUGUCCUCCCUGUGUUGCUGCCAUCUUAAAGUCCUACAAUCUCAACCAUGCUGUCAUCCUGCUCCUCUCCUCUUCUGGUAGCUGCACCACCCCCUCCCCCUCUCCUUCAGCCUUUACCGCCCUCUUCCCCCACCAGAACACGCUCCUCCUGCCCUCUGGUUCCAGAAGCCAUGGAUAAGAAGCUAAAAAGAAAGAAAGCGAUUAAAUAUCAGUAACUCAAAUCUUUAUAUCUCUCUGUCUGUGUAUAUGUUUUUAUAUGAAAAGUGUUGCUAACUGUAGUUGUUAUGUCUCAAUUUAUAUGUUUGUGUGUAUGUGAAAUGAAAAAGUGUGUAAAUGAAAAAGUAUGUAAGUGAAAAAGAUUUUUCUACCUAUGGAUGUUAUUAAUAGAAUUGACUUAAAGACAAGCACUUGUGAAAAUUGGGCAUUCUAAAACUUCCAGAAAAUUCUAAUAGAAAAUAUUAAGCAUUAAUGCUAAUUUAAGUUGAACUGAAAUGGACAUGCCCUUAUGGUAUCAGCUGCCUAAGUUUACCUAAAGUCAUUUAAGUUGAUGUUAUCUGCUAAAUCUUUCAAGAAUAAAAUGCUUAGAGGCUUGACUUUGUCUAAUAUUCAGUAAAAGUUUUGUAAGUAAUCUAGCAUAGUUGUUAGGAAUGAGUGAACUAAAAAAGUGUGGCAAGUGAACACCAUAAUAAUUGUGUGUUACAGUGUGUAUACCUACCUACAGCCUGAGAAUCUUUGUAGUAACCUGAAACCUUAAAGUUUUGCUAAGUUAAGAAGGUAUAUUUUGUGCUUAGUGAGAGAUUGUGCUGUAAAGCUGAUGGUUACAGAAAUUAUAAAAUGUGUUCAUAAAUUUGUCAAUCUAAAGAAUGUUAGUUUAACAGUUUACAAUAGCCUACUUCUCAGUGUUUGCUGAAAAUUAAAGUUCCUAAUAGUUUUAAGGUCUAAUUAAAACUACUUAAAGAAGAAAACAUCUCUACUUGCAAAAAAAAAAAGAUGUGUGUUUUAAUAAGAGAAAGUAUAAAGAAUGGAAAUCCGUUCUGUUAAGGGUAAAAGAAGGUAAUUUUUCUAAAGUACACAUAUUUAUUUAAAGAGAGAGAACACUGAAUGUAAAAGGAAAGUUGUAGAAAGCUUGUGGAAAAAUUAAUAUAGUCAUGCUAUGUGAAAUUAAAGCAAAUGAGACGAUGUCAAGUACACAGCAAAAUUAGAAUUUUGUUUUCAGUUAGAAAAACAAAUUUUUCUUAAAUUGUUAGUCUUCUCUUAAUGUUGAAAGAUUGCGAAAGAUUUUCUAAGUGUUUUAUCAAAGCAGUUUCUCAUGCUUAAAGUCUCAAUGAGUUGUCCGAGUAUUUAAGAAAACGAGAUCUUAAUAUUACAAGGACUAAAAGCUAAACUAUGCUAACAACUGUGUAACCUCCUUUAUUUGCCUUUGAGGUAUUUUGUUGUCGUUCUGGUUAAAAUAGAUAAGUAUUGUUUCAUAGUGACAUAUAAUUCUAUUUAGGCUAUUUAAGCAAGUGCCUUAAAACUUUUAACAGCUUCCCAAAAUCAAAUUCAAAAAGGUACUUUUACAUCUAGUUAACUCUGAUAUUUUCCAGAGAGCCCCUGGAACAUGUCAGAGGAACUUUUUCUCAUUGGAGAAAGCAUUUGGCUAAUAUAGCAUAUUUAUCUGAUAUAUAAUUACCUGCUUAAUUACCUGGAAAGCACUGUCAAAAAGAAUAAUGCUAAACUUUGUUACUGAACGUUUUGUGUUACAGAAAUAUCAGAAUUUCUUUAUGUCAACUGUCUUACAGUAGGCUCUCAUGAGAUCUUUAACCAUUGUCAUUUGUAAGUCUUUUGUCACUUAUAGUCACUGUUUUAUUACUCUUAAGCUAGUAAAUAAUUAGAUUUCAGCAGAACAGGUAUUAGUUACAUAAGAUUCAGUAAACUAAAGAAGAUGAUUUUGUGGCUUUUUGUUUCAAAUGUUGCUGAUAAAGUGUUUUUAAGCUUUUUCUCUUAAGCUGACAACAGUUUAGUAAAUGACUGCCUUUAUAAGCAGAAUUGAAACUUUAUCUUUCUACCUGAUCCCUCCAGAAUUUAUAAACUCUCAGUGACUAUUUUUAUAUUUCAUGGCAGUAUGUUUAUUUGCACAAGUUCAAUAAGAAUCUACUUUCCUUGUAAAUGGACUAAUUAAAAACACUAGUUAUAUUACCAAAGCUUUGACUGGAAUGUCAUACCUGAGAGACACAUGUGUAAACUCAGAUAUGAACAGCUUUAAGGAACUAAGGUUGGCUUUAUAAAGCCAACGAAGCCCCUUGAAAGAACUGGCCUGGUACCUUGCUUAUGAAGUUCCCAGCAGCCUUACCAGGUGAGUAAGGAAGGUCAUUUCCUGGCUGGUUCAGGAACCUCAAGAUGUCUUGGGGACCUCAAGAAGAGAAGAAUUCACCCAAAUCUAGAGGUACUGCAGGCAAAAUAUGAUGGCAGGUCUAGCUUGGCUGUCUAGCCUCGAGAAGGCUUUAAAAGUUCAAUCUGAAAUUCCUUACAAAACGUUCCAGCAAAGCACAUUUUAAAAAGCCUAUGUAAUCAAUUGCUCUUCUUGCUGCACUUAUGCAAAUAAUAAAGCCAAAUGUUACUUAUUUUCUUAACCUGAUUACUUCUAAUAAAAAUGAAGGUGAUUUUAGAGAAAAGUAUUGUUUUAAUAAUGCAGUCUUAUCUAUACUAAAUCCUAAUACUAGUCAUUGAGAUGUAAGCUCCACCCAGAAUUCUAGUUUCCCCAUGACACCUGGCUAUGAUUCUCAAUUAGACUCUUCAUAUUUCUAGUUCUCAUAUUAAGCCAUGCAUUCUUAAUCUCAUCAAGUUUGUCCUUCCAGAAUAUAAGCGCAAACCUUCUGAGGCCCUCUCAACUGACCAGUGAUGGAAACCUAGCUGCACCCUUUACUGCGCCCCCUCUCAGCAUGAAGCAGCCAGAGCAGUCAUCGCCCCUUUUCCCUAGCAGCAGCUAGAGUCUCUACCUAUAGAGAGAAAAAUGAGACAAGGACCAUAAGCUUAGACAGAGUAAAGUGAGAGCCUCUAGAGAAAGCAAGGCAGGAUAUUUGCAGUCAGAGCAAUGUAAAUACAUGCUAGGAAUCCCGCCCCCAUGACACCCCUUGUCUGCUGGAAGUAACCAGAUCAAGUUCGCACCCAUUAUGACCAAAAGGCUAGAAUGAAAGGCUGGAGUCACCAGGGGAAGGGGUGAGCCUGCUGGACAAGCUCAGGCCUCACCAAACAAGGCAAAGAGACCAACAGGUUCGGGCCUGACAACAUUCCAGAAACUGAUCAGAUAACAUUCCUAACUAGAGCCCUCCCCAGGCUAGAAGAAUAGUGAUAACUGUCCAGUACCUGGCUAAAAGCCAAUGAGAGACCCCCACGUACCUUAGGCGAGCCAAUCCUCAUGCCACUGUAUACCUUUGCUCUCCCUUCCCCUUCCUUCUUUAAAAACUUGCUGCCUGCCCUGCUGGGGGCGACUUCCCCAGCCUCCAUUUCUGUAGACUGGGAAACCUUGCUGGGAACUGCGCUCAAAUAAACUACCUGGCCCUUU